CAAACAAGCCGUACUUUCAAUAUUUUUAUUUCUAUUAUUAUAUAUAUUGUAGUUCUAUAUAUUAUUUUUUAUAUUAUAGUUAUAAAGUACUUUCCUUUUAAUCCAUCUAUGCAAUUAAGAUACUCUACAUAACUAAAAACAAGUUAAAUGGAAUUAAGUAUUUUAUUAAAAGGGUCACGAAGUUCCAGUAGUCAGGUCUACCAGUUGCGGCACGCCCUCCUCAUCCUGCAUCCAGAUGUAGCGACUCUCACCCUUUACGUAGUGACUAUUAUCACCGGGAACCAGAGGAAUAGCAUUGCCAGCACACACUUAAAACACCAAAAUUAUAUUAAUUUAUACGAGUACAUUUUUUAAUAAAAAGUGAGUCUAAAAUUAAAUUAAUUCAAUAAAAAUUUUUAAUACAAUAACAUACAAUUUCAA